UCAUGGCUCAGGACGAACGCUGGCGGCGUGCCUAAUACAUGCAAGUCGAACGCGUCUUGGUUAUUGAUGUUAGAUGCUUGCAUUUAACUGAUUUAACAUUGAGACGAGUGGCGAACUGGUGAGUAACACGUGGGUAACCUGCCCUUGAAGUAGGGGAUAACACUUGGAAACAGGUGCUAAUACCGUAUAACAACCAAAACCACCUGGUUUUGGUUUAAAAGAUGGCUUCGGCUAUCACUUUAGGAUGGACCCGCGGCGUAUUAGCUUGUUGGUAAGGUAACGGCCUACCAAGGCAAUGAUACGUAGCCGACCUGAGAGGGUAAUCGGCCACAUUGGGACUGAGACACGGCCCAAACUCCUACGGGAGGCAGCAGUAGGGAAUCUUCCACAAUGGACGAAAGUCUGAUGGAGCAACGCCGCGUGAGUGAUGAAGGGUUUCGGCUCGUAAAACUCUGUUGUUGGAGAAGAACAGGUGUGAGAGUAACUGUUCACAUCUUGACGGUAUCCAACCAGAAAGCCACGGCUAACUACGUGCCAGCAGCCGCGGUAAUACGUAGGUGGCAAGCGUUGUCCGGAUUUAUUGGGCGUAAAGCGAGCGCAGGCGGUUUCUUAGGUCUGAUGUGAAAGCCUUCGGCUUAACCGGAGAAGUGCAUCGGAAACCAGGAGACUUGAGUGCAGAAGAGGACAGUGGAACUCCAUGUGUAGCGGUGAAAUGCGUAGAUAUAUGGAAGAACACCAGUGGCGAAGGCGGCUGUCUGGUCUGUAACUGACGCUGAGGCUCGAAA
rnacentral:rRNA from 1 species